AGCGAACGCUGGCGGCAGGCCUAACACAUGCAAGUCGAACGGAUCCUUCGGGAUUAGUGGCGGACGGGUGAGUAACACGUGGGAACGUGCCCUUUGGUUCGGAACAACUCAGGGAAACUUGAGCUAAUACCGGAUGUGCCCUUCGGGGGAAAGAUUUAUCGCCAUUGGAGCGGCCCGCGUCUGAUUAGCUAGUUGGUGAGGUAAAGGCUCACCAAGGCGACGAUCAGUAGCAGGUCUGAGAGGAUGAUCAGCCACAUUGGGACUGAGACACGGCCCAAACUCCUACGGGAGGCAGCAGUGGGGAAUCUUGCGCAAUGGGCGAAAGCCGGACGCAGCCAUGCCGCGUGAAUGAUGAAGGUCUUAGGAUUGUAAAAUUCUUUCACCGGGGACGAUAAUGACGGUACCCGGAGAAGAAGCCCCGGCUAACUUCGUGCCAGCCGCCGCCGUAAGAC
rnacentral:rRNA from 1 species